rnacentral:rRNA from 1 species
GAUGAACGCUGGCGGCGUGCCUAAUACAUGCAAGUCGAGCGAACGGACGAGAAGCUUGCUUCUCUGAUGUUAGCGGCGGACGGGUGAGUAACACGUGGAUAACCUACCUAUAAGACUGGGAUAACUUCGGGAAACCGGAGCUAAUACCGGAUAAUAUUUUGAACCGCAUGGUUCAAAAGUGAAAGACGGUCUUGCUGUCACUUAUAGAUGGAUCCGCGCUGCAUUGGCUAGUUGGUAAGGUAACGGCUUACCAAGGCAACGAUGCAUAGCCGACCUGAGAGGGUGAUCGGCCACACUGGAACUGAGACACGGUCCAGACUCCUACGGGAGGCAGCAGUAGGGAAUCUUCCGCAAUGGGCGAAAGCCUGACGGAGCAACGCCGCGUGAGUGAUGAAGGUCUUCGGAUCGUAAAACUCUGUUAUUAGGGAAGAACAUAUGUGUAAGUAACUGUGCACAUCUUGACGGUACCUAAUCAGAAAGCCACGGCUAACUACGUGCCAGCAGCCGCGGUAAUACGUAGGUGGCAAGCGUUAUCCGGAAUUAUUGGGCGUAGAGCGCGCGUAGGCGGUUUUUUAAGUCUGAUGUGAAAGCCCACGGCUCAACCGUGGAGGGUCAUUGGAAACUGGAAAACUUGAGUGCAGAAGAGGAAAGUGGAAUUCCAUGUGUAGCGGUGAAAUGCGCAGAGAUAUGGAGGAACACCAGUGGCGAAGGCGACUUUCUGGUCUGUAACUGACGCUGAUGUGCGAAAGCGUGGGGAUCAAACAGGAUUAGAUACCCUGGUAGUCCACGCCGUAAACGAUGAGUGCUAAGUGCUAGGGGGUUUCCGCCCCUUAGUGCUGCAGCUAACGCAUUAAGCACUCCGCCUGGGGAGUACGACCGCAAGGUUGAAACUCAAAGGAAUUGACGGGGACCCGCACAAGCGGUGGAGCAUGUGGUUUAAUUCGAAGCAACGCGAAGAACCUUACCAAAUCUUGACAUCCUUUGACAACUCUAGAGAUAGAGCCUUCCCCUUCGGGGGACAAAGUGACAGGUGGUGCAUGGUUGUCGUCAGCUCGUGUCGUGAGAUGUUGGGUUAAGUCCCGCAACGAGCGCAACCCUUAAGCUUAGUUGCCAUCAUUAAGUUGGGCACUCUAAGUUGACUGCCGGUGACAAACCGGAGGAAGGUGGGGAUGACGUCAAAUCAUCAUGCCCCUUAUGAUUUGGGCUACACACGUGCUACAAUGGACAAUACAAAGGGCAGCGAAACCGCGAGGUCAAGCAAAUCCCAUAAAGUUGUUCUCAGUUCGGAUUGUAGUCUGCAACUCGACUACAUGAAGCUGGAAUCGCUAGUAAUCGUAGAUCAGCAUGCUACGGUGAAUACGUUCCCGGGUCU